rnacentral:lncRNA from 1 species
GAAACAUUACAGAAAUAGUAUCUGCAGGCUUUUCCUUUGUUUUGUCAUUAAGUAGAGCAAAACAUCGGUGAAAAAUAAUUACUUAAAAAUGUGAAAAAUUACAGUAUCAGAAAUAAUGGCUUCACCACAAUUUUAUAUACUUUUAUAUACAAAAAGGUUAUGAGAGGGUCUGGAUGGGGGUGCUUCAAUAUUAUUUUUUUUUAAUUCUAAAGGAC